GAUGAACGCUAGCUACAGGCUUAACACAUGCAAGUCGAGGGGCAGCGGUAUCGAAAGCUUGCUUUCGGUAGCCGGCGACCGGCGCACGGGUGAGUAACGCGUAUCGAACCUGCCUCAUACUCGGGAAUAGCCUUGCGAAAGUAAGAUUAAUGCCCGGUGUUUUCAGAGUCCCGCAUGAGGCUUUGAACAAAGAUUUAUCGGUAUGAGAUGGCGAUGCGUCCCAUUAGCUUGUUGGCGGGGUAACGGCCCACCAAGGCAUCGAUGGGUAGGGGUUCUGAGAGGAAGGGCCCCCACAUUGGAACUGAGACACGGUCCAAACUCCUACGGGAGGAAGCAGUGAGGAAUAUUGAUCAAUGGGCGGAAGCCUGAACCAGCCAAGUAGCGUGCAGGAAGACGGCCCUCCGGGUUGUAAACUGCUUUUAGUUGGGAAUAAAACGGGGCUCGUGAGCCCCCUUGCAUGUACCAUCAGAAAAAGGACCGGCUAAUUCCGUG
rnacentral:rRNA from 1 species